rnacentral:rRNA from 1 species
GACGAACGCUGGCGGCGUGCUUAACACAUGCAAGUCGAACGGAAAGGCCCUGCUUUUGUGGGGUGCUCGAGUGGCGAACGGGUGAGUAACACGUGAGUAACCUGCCCUUGACUUUGGGAUAACUUCAGGAAACUGGGGCUAAUACCGGAUAGGAGCUCCUGCUGCAUGGUGGGGGUUGGAAAGUUUCGGCGGUUGGGGAUGGACUCGCGGCUUAUCAGCUUGUUGGUGGGGUAGUGGCUUACCAAGGCUUUGACGGGUAGCCGGCCUGAGAGGGUGACCGGCCACAUUGGGACUGAGAUACGGCCCAGACUCGUACGGGAGGCAGAAGUGGGGAAUAUUGCACAAUGGGCGGAAGCCUGAUGCAGCAACGCCGCGUGCGGGAUGACGGCCUUCGGGUUGUAAACCGCCUUCGCAUGUGACGAAGCGUGAGUGACGGUAAUGGGUAAAGAAGCACCGGCUAACUACGUG